rnacentral:tRNA from 1 species
AGCCCCGUAGUGUAGCGGCCAAUCAUACAGGCCUUUGGAGCCUGUGACCCCGGUUCGAAUCCGGGCGGGGCUA